GUAGGUGGCAAGCGUUGUCCGGAAUUAUUGGGCGUAAAGCGCGCGCAGGCGGUUCUUUAAGUCUGAUGUGAAAGCCCACGGCUCAACCGUGGAGGGCCAUUGGAAACUGGAGAACUUGAGUACAGAAGAGGAAAGCGGAAUUCCACGUGUAGCGGUGAAAUGCGUAGAGAUGUGGAGGAACACCAGUGGCGAAGGCGGCUUUCUGGUCUGUAACUGACGCUGAGGCGCGAAAGCGUGGGGAGCAAACAGGGAUUAGAUACCCUGGUAGUCCACGCCGUAAACGAUGAGUGCUAAGUGUUAGGGGGUUUCCCGCCCCUUAGUGCUGCAGCUAACGCAUUAAGCACUCCGCCUGGGGAGUACGGCCGCAAGGCUG
rnacentral:rRNA from 1 species